rnacentral:rRNA from 1 species
GUGGGGAAUAUUGGACAAUGGGCGAAAGCCUGAUCCAGCCAUGCCGCGUGUGUGAAGAAGGUCUUCGGAUUGUAAAGCACUUUAAGUUGGGAGGAAGGGCAGUAAGUUAAUACCUUGCUGUUUUGACGUUACCAACAGAAUAAGCACCGGCUAACUUCGUGCCAGCAGCCGCGGUAAUACGAAGGGUGCAAGCGUUAAUCGGAAUUACUGGGCGUAAAGCGCGCGUAGGUGGUUCAGCAAGUUGGAGGUGAAAUCCCCGGGCUCAACCUGGGAACUGCCUCCAAAACUACUGAGCUAGAGUACGGUAGAGGGUAGUGGAAUUUCCUGUGUAGCGGUGAAAUGCGUAGAUAUAGGAAGGAACACCAGUGGCGAAGGCGACUACCUGGACUGAUACUGACACUGAGGUGCGAAAGCGUGGGGAGCAAACAGGAUUAGAAACCCCGGUAGUCC